AAUAGGCUAAUUAAGAGCGUAAGGGGAAUGCCUUGGCUCUCAGAGGCGAAGAAGGACGUGAUAAGCUGCGAAAAGUUGCGGGGAGUGGCACAUACAUUUUGAUCCGCAAAUGUCCGAAUGGGGAAACCCGGUUAUUUGAAGAAUAAUCAUCCAUUUAUGGAAGCUAACCCGGAGAACUGAAACAUCUAAGUACCCGGAGGAAAAGAAAACAAUAGUGAUUCCGCUAGUAGUGGCGAGCGAACGCGGAAUANCCCAAACCUAAAUUGUUUCGGCAAUUUAGGG
rnacentral:rRNA from 1 species